UUCUUUUUUGUUUUUGUUCUUCACUGAGAUUUUAUAUUUCAUUGGAUUUUAACAUGACAUAGUACUAAUUUAUUUUUAAAUUUGUUUUAGUAUGGCUAAUAAUUUUUGGAUUAAGAAUAUUUUGUUCCCCAGCAAAAAAUUGCGAAUUUUCAAAAUUUCGCACAUUUUUAGUUCAAUUUUUUAACCCUGGUACUGACGAGAAAAUGGGCAGCAAUUCUAAAAAUGGAAAAUGGGCUGCAAUAAAUUCCAUAUGAAUGAGAAAAUGAGUAAAAAUUAUAAAAAUAAUAGCAAAUGGGAUGUACACGCCACAAAUUUCGAGGCUGACUUGUUUACGCAAGGUUUUGUCAGUCAACACACGAUUCUAGCAGCAGUGACUGUUGGAUGUCCAUCCAACGGCCGACGUGCUUCUGCAAUCUCUGAUCUUCCUCCUCCAGCCGCCUAAACCAGCGCCGGCGGUAGUGCCUGCUCCGUCCUCUUGUGGCCUGCUGUCAUGCCGCGCAGGCUUCACCGGCCCACCCUACUCCCUCCGCUGGCUUGGCCGCACGCAAUCAACUGCCUCCUUAUUACGCGGAAAAAAAUGAUUCCUCCCACUGACAUCUGGGCCGCAGUGGUUCGAAGGCUGACCUGUGGGCCUACUAAGUUGAUGCGUACGCAGGGCUUUGUCAACUUAGUCAACAAACAAUUCUAGCAGCAGUGACCGUUGGAUUGAAUCGAACGGUCCUACUGUUUCUUCAAUCGUUGCUCUUCUUGCACCAGCCGCCCAAACCAGCGCCGGCAAGACCACCUGCUCCUGCCUCCAGUGGCCGGUUGUGCUGCCGUUGAGGCCUCACCGCCCCCUACUACUCCCACCGCUGGCCAGGCCCUGCGGCGACGGCAGGCUCACACCGCAGCCGAACCAGUGAAACCUCGUACUCCUCUCCGCGUGGGCAUCCACUGCCGCGUCUUCCCCGGCUCCGCGUCGUCCCCUUCCUAGGCCUCACCGUCGUCCACCGCCCUGGUGCUCUCGGCGCGCUGUGGUCAACGUGGUCAACGAACGACAUCCAUCGGACAUGGACUUUACGUGGAGAGGCUGACAGCUGGGUCCAUGGCCGCACACAAGGAAAUGCCUCCUUAUUACGCGCAAAAUAAUGAUUCCUCCACCUGACAUCUGGGACCCACCAGAAGGGCCUCUGUAUUUCGCAAAAAAAAUGUUCCCCUGCUAACAGGUCGGACCCACCAGCUAUAUCUUCGCACGCAAGGAAGUGCAUCCUUAUUACGCACACAAAAAUGAAUACUCCCCCUGCUAGCUGGGACCCAGCUUAGUGGGAAGCUGACAUGUGGGCCUACUAAGUUGACGGGGACGGAGGGCUUUGUCAACUUAGUCAAUAUGAACGAUUCUAGCUCCAGUGACCGUACGAUGUCCAUCCAACGGCCGUAGUGCUUCUUCAACCUCUGGUCUUCUUGCUCCAGCCGCCCAAAGCAGCGCCGGUCGUGCCGCCUGCUCCUGCCUCCUGUGGCCGGUUGUGCUGCCGUGGAGGCCUCACCGCCCCCUACUACUCCCACCGCCGGUUAGGCCCUGCGGCGACGGCAGCCUCACACCGCAGCCGAACCAGUGAACCCUCGUACUCCUCUCUGUGUGGGCAUCCACUGCCGUGUCUUCUCCGGCUCCGCGUCGUCCCCUUCCUAGGCAUCGCCGUCGUCCACCGCCUUGGUGCUCUCGGUGCGGCGUGGUCAAUGUGGUCAACGACCGACUUCCAUCGGAAGAGUACUGUACGUGGAGAGGCUGACAACUGGGUCCACGGCCGCAGCAAGGAAGUGCCUCCUUAUUACGCGAAAAAUAAUGAUUCCUCCACCUGACAGCAGGGACCCACCAGACGGGCCACCGUAUUUCAUAAAAAAACGUUUCCCCCUCACUACUGGGACCCACUAGCUACAUCUUCGCACGCAAGGAAGUGCGUCCAUAUUACGGGCAAAAAAAUGAUUCGCCUCCUGACUGCUAGGACCCACCAGCUACAUCUUCGCAUGCAAGGAAGUGCCUGACCGUCGGGACCCACCUGAUCGAAGCGUACGUAGCAUUGUCAUUCUGGUCACGAUCGUGUACGUACAUACUGGUCGAUGUAGAGGCGCGCACGUAGCAUGUACAAGUACGUACAGCGGCCAGGGUGCAAGAAAGAAAAUACGGCCACAUACGUACAUACGGGCGGGGUCUCGAACGCCUACUCGCGCAUACGUUUGGCCAGGGCUCGUGUACAUGGCUGGGUCGGAACGAAGAAGUUGCACCAUCGUCGUGAUCAUGGGGAGGCAACCGGCUGGGUCGGAACGGAAUGCAUCGUCGUGUUCAUCGGGAGCCAACCGGCUUGGACGGAACAGCCAUGGAAACGAGGCCUGGCGUACCGCAGAAAGGAGGAAACGGCCUUGUGUUCGACCGGCCACGGUCGAAACGGGCUCCUGUUCAUCGGUAGGGGUCUGGCGUACCGCAAAACGGAGGAAACAGACCUCCUACGGUCGAAACGGGGUCCUGUUGAUCGGGAGGGGUGUGGCGUACCGCAAAAUGGAGGGAACGGACUUGUGUUGGAGCGCUACGAUCGAAAUGCGGGUCCUGUUCAUCGGGAGGGGUGUGGCGUACAGCAAAACGGGACUCCAUGGGAUACUGUUCAUCUCCACCGUCGACUGCCUCCACGGGCUAGUGUUCAUCCACCGUCGACUGCCUCCACGGGCUACUGUUCAUCCACCGUCGACCUCCUCCAGCCUCCACCUGCGACUGUUCAUCCACGGGCUCCUGUUCAUCCAGCCUCCACCGCGUGCUCCUCCACCGGCUACUGUUUAACCAGCCCUCUUCACUGGGUCCUGUUCAACCACCCCUCCACGGGCUACUGUUCAUCCAGCCCUCUACCGGCUACUGUUCAACCAGCCCUCCACGGGGUCGUCCUAUUCAUCCAGCCCUCCACGGGGUCCUAUUCAUCCACCCCUCCAUGGGGUCCUGUUCAUCCACCGGCUCGAUCGGUCGGGGUCCUGUUCAUCCAGCGGCAACGGCCUCUACUACCACGGGGUCAUGUUCAUCCAACCACCCACCGGGAACUGUUCAUCCAAACCCCCCAACAAUGCUCACUGUUCAUCAAGGGAACGAGGCAGCAGUGUUCGAUCGGCUUCAGUUAGUAGCAGUAGCGAAGGAAUCACUCGGGUUCAGUUAACAGCAAGGGAUCGAUCGAUCGCUCAGUUUCAGUAAUGCGUAGCCUGCAGUGCAAUCGCUCGGGUUUAGUUAGAGCCCAACGCCUCGCUCGGGUUCAGUUAGAGCGCAACGCCUCGCAUACACGCGCGUACGUAUGAGAGAAACGUGCAUCGCUCGGCCCCCGACCACCCACCGUAACCGGGAACUCCCCGAUAUUUUCCUCGCCCUCGCUUUCUACCACGGUUUUUUCCAUCAUGGACGGCCCAAAGAAUGUCAUGCGGCUGCGUAUCCGGCCCGCCCAGGACGAAAAGCCCAUUUUCUGUCAUGAUUUUUUGUCAUAGAAGUAGGAGCCCACAUCAUCUAUAAUGAUACCGGGUUUUGUCACAAUUAUCAUCAUAGAAGUGUCAUAAGCAUGACAGAAAAAAUUUGUUCGGCCCAAAAUGUCACGGAUGUGUCUUUUUUUUGUAGUGCAAGCCCUUUUGAGGAGGCUUCUUGGUGAAGUUGUUCUUGCUAGGGAAAGACUUGGCUUUGUCUUUGCGAAUGAGUUUGCCACCAUUGUCUUCCCUCUUCUCGUAAGGGCAAUCCGCCACAAAGUGACUCACAUUGCCGCAAUUGUAGCAAGUCCUUACUUGUUGCUUGUUCUUUGACCCACUUGAGUUGUUCUGAGUGAAGUUGGGCCUUGAGUUCCUCUUGUUGCUCCAAAAUUGCCUUGACGCAAGAGCCAUGUGCUCAUGGUAAGCAUAUUUGGUGUCCUCGGGGCCACACUCUUCUUCUUCCGGAAUGGCCAUGGCCUUCAAAGCAAGGGUGGGAGUGCUUUUCUUUGACCGGACACGACCAAGAGCAUUGUCGGCGGUCUUGUUCAUGAUGUUCAUGGCAAUAAACUCAUCCAACACUUCACUUGAGGUUAAGGUGUGAAAAUCCGGCCUUUGACGAAUCACAGAAGACAUGGCCUUGUUGAAUGGCAUGAUGGCCUUGAGAAACUUGCGCUUGAUCCAAGUGUCAUCUGUAUCCUUGCUCCCAUGGUCUUGGAGAGCAACCGCAAGAGUAGUCACCCUCCGGUAGAGAUCACGCGGAUCCUCAUCUUCUAGCAUCAUGAAUUCAUCGGCCUCAUCAAGGACCACUUCAAAGUUGGACCGUUGGAUGUUUGAGCUCCCCUUGUACAUAGAAACAAUGUGCUCCCAAUAAUCCUUUGCACGAGUGAAAGGAUGUAAGUGAGAUAGAUCUUCGGGUGGGACCGCAUCUUGAAGGAUGAACAAAGCGGAGUGAUUGUAUUGAUUGUCCACUUCUUCUCUUGGGAUGAAGUUGUUUGGAUCAUGCGGGUAGAAGCCUUGCUCAAUGAUUCUCCAAAGGUUAGUUGAGUAGUGGUUCAAAUGAGACUUAAUACGAAAGACCCAAUUAGCAAAAUCACCCUUAACAAGUUUGGGAGGAGGACCAUGAUUAUUAAUGCGAGGUGUAGAGACCGGUCCUCCAUAGACCGGGGGAGGGGGAACUGAGGCAAAGGUUCCCGUCCCAUUCUUGUUGUGAGAGGAAGAGACAUGAGUACCUUUAGCCACUUCCUUAGCGGAAUUGGCCUCCGACUCUGAUGCGGUGGUAUUGACAACAAGCAAAGGAUCGGGAGAAGCUUUCAUCCCCUCAAGCAAUUCUUUAAGCAUAGACUUGACUUUGGUCAUCAUAGACGUCUUAAGUGAAGCCAUAGCUUUAUUUAAGUCGUCUCGUGUGAUGGAAGUCAACUCUACAGCCUCGAGCACUUCCUCCCCGGUGUCAACCAUACUCUUUGGGUGGUGAAACCCUUAAUAAAGAGACGAGGCUCUGAUACCAAUUGAAAGGAUUGAUAUGGUUGACUAGAGGGAGUGAAUAGGCAACUACCAAUUUUUAGCUUUUCUUAACAAAUUAGGUUUAGCAACAAAAAAGGUUGUCUAGAUGUGCAACUAGGUGAGCAACCUAUAUGAUGCAAACAACAAAGUUCCUUCCCUUUGGGGGAAGUACGUCUCCGUUGGAGCGGUGUGGAGGCACAAUGCUCCCCGAGAAGCCACUAGGGCCACCGUAUUCUCCUCACACCCUCACACAAUGCAAGAUGUUGUGAUUCCACUAGUGGCGCCCUUGAAGGCGGCGACCGAACCUUUACAAACAAGGUUGGGGCAAUCUCCACAACUUGAUUGGAGGGUCCCAAUGAUGCCACGGAGCUUCACCAUAAUGAAAUGUGGCUCCGAGGUGACCUCAACCAUCUAGGGUGCUCAAACACCCAAGAGUAACAAGAUCCACAAGGGAUUAGUGGGGGGAUCAAAUUUCUCUUGGUGGAAGUGUAGAUCCGGGCCUUCUCAACCAAACCCUAGAAAAUCAACAAGUUUGAUUGGUUAGGGAGAGAGAUCGGGCAAGAAUGAGCUUUGGAGCAACAAGCUUGGGGGAAAAGAGGUAGAUCUUCUUGGGGAAGAAGACCCCCUUAUAUAGUGGGGGGGACAAUCCAACCAUUAUCCCCUCAUUCAGCCUGCAGCGAGCGGUACUACCGCUGGCCGCAGAGGUACUGCCGCUCGGCCCAGCGGUACAACCGCUGGGACCGUGCACAGCGCCUAAGGGAGAAGGGACGGAGGAGAGGGCCACUGAGCGGCACUAAUAGCGGUAGUAGGCGCGGUACUACUGCUUACAAGCGGUACUGCCGCUCCUACUGCCGCUGAACCCGACACAAGACACGCAGGUCUCGAGUCGAGGCGGUACUAGCACGAAACCAGAGCCGUACUACCGUCUGUGGCCAUGGACGGUACUACCGCUGUGAAACAGCGGUACUACCGCUUGUGGCUUUCAACCGUACUGCCGCUCCGGGCCGUGGUACUACCGCUGGCGCCUCCCUUAUGCCACUUCCACGAUAACAAGUAUACUCCAAGGAUGAGGGAAGGAGUUGGGGGUGCGAAAGAGAGAUGUGUACGUGUUGAUUCCACCCUAGCCUUUCUGAUAUGCACCCCCUCUUGAUAGUACGAUAUCUCCUACGACUCAAGUCCACCUAAACCGAAACGAAAGAUAACUACACCGUCUUCACUUUGAGCUCCGAGGGGAAUAAAUUGUCUCGUGCCAAUGAAUGAAUAUCUAAAAUGCUCAACGCACACGAUUAGUCCGCAAAUGCAUUGUCAUCAAACACCAAAACCACUUAGAGAGAGAUAUGCCCUAACACCAUGGCAUGCUUGUUGGUUGCCAACUCGAAGGAGAAGAUCUGUUGCAUCUGGUGGUAGUUCUGGAUAGGUGAUACGUCUCCAACGUAUCUAUAAUUUUUUAUUGUUCCAUGCUAUUAUAUUAUCUGUUUUGGAUGUUUUAUAUGCAUUAAUAUGCUUAUCUAUAUUAUUUUUGGGACUAACCUAUUAACCUAGAGCCCAGUGCCAGUUUCUGUUUUUUUCCUUGUCUUAGAGUUUCGCAGAAAAGGAAUACCAAACGGAGUCCAAAUGGAAUAAAACUUUCGCGAUGAUUUUUCUUGGACCAGAAGACAUCCAAAGGACUUGGAGUGCAAGUGAGGGAAGCCACGAGGUGGCCACAAGGACAGAGGGCGCGCCCAGGGCGGUAGGGCGCGCCCCCAACCUUGUGGGCCCCUCGUGACUCCAUCGACCUAUUUCUUGCGCCUAUAUAUUCUCAAAUAUUCCAAAACCAAUCAGGAGAGCCACGAAAACACUUUUCCACCACCGCAGCCUUCUGUACCCGUGAGAUCCCAUCUAGGGGCCUUUUCCGGCAUCCUGCCGGAGGGGGAUUCGAUCACGGAGAGCUUCUACACCAACACCAUUGCCCUUCCGAUGAAGCGUGAGUAGUUUACCACAGACCUACGGGUCCAUAGCUAGUAGCUAGAUGGCUUCUUGUCUCUCUUUGAUUCUCAAUACCAUGUUCUCCUCGAUGUUCUUGGGGAUCUAUUCGAUGUAAUACUUUUUUGCGGUGUGUUUGCCGAGAUCCGAUGAAUUGUGGAUUUAUGAUCAGCUUAUCUACGAAUAUUAUUUGAACCUCCUCUGAAUUCUUAUAUGCAUGAUUUCAUAUCUUUGCAAGUCUCUUCAAACUAUCGAUUUGGUUUGGCCAACUAGAUUGGUUUUUCUUGCAAUGGGAGAAGUGCUUAGCUUUGGGUUCAAUAUUGCGGUGUCCUUUCCCAGUGACAGUAGGGGCAUCAAGGCACGUAUUGUAUUGUUGCCAUCGAGUAUAAAAACAUGGGGUUUCCAUCAUAUUGCUUGAGUUUAUUCCUCUACAUCAUGUCAUCUUACUUAAUGCGUUACUUUGUUCUUCAUGAACUUAAUACUCUAGAUGCAGGCAGGAGUCGGUCGAUGUGUGGAGUAAUAGUAGUAGAUGCAGGCAGGAGUCGGUCUACUUGAUACGGACGUGAUGCCUAUAUUCAUGAUCAUUGCCUUAGAUAUCGUCAUAAUUUUGCGCUUUUCUAUCAAUUGCUCAGCAGUAAUUUGUUCACCCACCUUAAUAUUUUCUAUCUUGAGAGAAGCCUCUAGUGAAACAUAUGGCCCCCGAGUCUAUUUUCCAUCAUAUAAGUUUCCGAUCUACAAUAUUAGUUUCCUAUUUAGUUCCUUUGCAAUCUUUUACUUUCCGAUAUAUAAACCGAAAAUACCAAAAAUAUUUACUUUACCGUUUAUCUAUCUCCAUCAGAUCUCACUUUUGCAAGUAACUGUGAAGGGAUUGACAACCCCUUUAUCGCGUUAGGUGCAAGUUGUUGAUUGUUUGUGCAGGUAUUCGGUGACUUGUUCGUUGUCUCCUACUGGAUUGAUACAUUGGUUCUCAAAACUGAGGGAAAUACUUACUCUACUUUGCUGCAUCACCCUUUCCUCUUCAAGGGAAAAACCAACGCAAGCUCAAGAAGUAGCAAUAGGGGUGUUGAGGAACUCAGCGUCCUUGGGGUGAGCGUAAGAAGAAAUAGGGUAGACAGGGUAGUUAGUAUGGCAAUGGUUCAUAGGCUUGAAUUGUUGGUCUGUUAGAAUGGCAUGGUUUGUGAGCUAACCACGACAUGGCCUUGGUAGUGCUCUACCUCCAGAAGGAUCAAGUAGGUGUCCUCAUCCCAUGAAGCACCACUAAGGUCUCUGAGCUUGGACACUUGGAUCCAUCGAGCUCUCCACUUCCUCAGGUGGUUGUACACCUGGGUCGAGGUGACCUCCUAUCCACAGAAGUCGAACACCUGCUUUGCAAUAAGGUUCAAGUGCACCUCCUUGAAGCCCUUGUCAGUCCUCACCCCACUAGCUAUGAUCUCACACAUCUUGUUAAGCACAAAAGUGAAGAGGAACGGCUGCCACUUCAUGCUAUUCCCCUUGCCAUCCUUCUUCUCCUCUGCUGCUACCUUAAGAGCAGCAACAUGAGCAACAGCAUUGGGCUAAGCCAACACAAAUGGAGGAACCAUAGGCGGCACCUCGAAAACCUCUAAAUCAAGAGGCAUCUGUUCUAGAGGAGGCUGGGGGUCCUUGACGUAGGAUGGCGGGAACUGGCUCUUGGACAGCACGAUGGCCUGACUAAACUCUUGCUUGGUCAUGUCCUACAAACGUAAGUGUCAUCAACACCACAAGACACUACACAUAGACAGUAUGAACUAGCAGUACAAUAUGGACAGAUCGAACUAGCAGUACAUCUUCGACAGAUCAAACUAGCAUUACAUCUUGGACAGAUCAAACUAGCAUUACAUCUUGGACAAAUCAAACUAGCAGUAACACAUGCACAAGCAUACCACAGCAUAACAGAGCACUAAUCAUGGAGAACAGAGCACUAAUCAUGGACACAUGGAUGAUCUUGUUCAACACUUGCACACUAGCAUACCACCGAUUCAUCCAUGACCACUAGCUACCAACACUUCACUGGUACGCGUCGGUGCUAUACAAACGGUUUUAACCCCUUUCCGCGAUGGCAUUUGGAACCAUCGCCAAGUGAGUGUGGGCGAUAGGGGGGUCCUUCCCACACGACCCAGAAACCGUCGGGUAUAGGCCCUCCUGGCACACAGGCUGGGGAAAAAUGAGCUCGUGUGCGAUCGGGCGAGGCAUCGAAACCCAAUCGUUUCCAUUGUAUGUACAUCCCACACGGUGAAUCCCAGAAAAACAUUUCCGUUCUUAUGUAUAUCACACACAGUCAAUUCAAGGAAUACAUUUCCGUUCUUAUGUACAUCCCACACAGUCAAUCGAGGGAAAACGUUUUCGUUCAUAUGUAUAUCACACACAGUCAAUCCAAGAAAUACGUUUCCAUUCUUAUGUACAUCCCACACAGUCAAUCCAGGGAAAACGUUUCCGUUCGUAUGUAUAUCCACACAGUUUUAUGUAUAGGCUCGUGUGUGAAAGGUGUAACUAUCACGCACGCUCUGCCUUGGUUAACCGUUUGCUUUUAUCAACUACACCACACACGAUUUGAUGAAGAAAACUGUGUGGCAUUGGGCUAUCCAUCACAAGCGCUUUUACUGCCAGAACCGUUUGCAAAGUUCGAUGACUCAUUUAGCAGGUUUAUUAGUUUACAAUUAAUAAUUCCAGUAUUACGCAAAUUCACAUUUCAUAUCGAACAGCUGUUUGCCAAUUUCAUACCAGGCACAUAAAUAUAUUUUAACAUCACAGUACAAUAGCUACCUGAAAACAGCACAACACAGCAUAUAGCUAGUUCAACUUCAUAAGAACAAUAUAUACAUUUCCUUAAUCGAGAUCAUCCAGGCACGUCUUAUCCACCUCUGCUUUAAGUUCAGUAAGAACCUGUUUUGCACUGUCCAACUGGAAAAGUGCCUCCUCCUUCGCCAACACCAUCUUAGCAAAGUCUGAUUUAAAAAAAUCUGAGCUCAUUCUCCACCUUCCUCUUUUUAUCCCGCAUCUUCAAAUAUUCUUCAGCAUUGACAACACUUUCUCUAAGCCUACCUCUGUUCUCUUCCUCAUACAUGCUCUAGAGCUUUGUUAGGCACAUCUUCAAAGACUGUGGCCACUCUUGAUCAACCCACUCCAAGUAAGAACACUUCCAUUCAUCCUAUAAUAUUUAAAACUAGAUCGGUAACAAUUGUAGGGGAAAUGUGUUUAUAGCAACAUAGAAAAUCACCAAUAUUUAUUUUGAAAAACUGAAGAAACAGGUUAAUUAUGACAUAUCUUCUCAAAAAGAUCAAUGUGCAAAUGAAUUAAUUGCUACUGAGACAACAACCAAAUUCUAAAACAUCAGAAGCUAUAAGUAACUACAACAACGCUACAAGUUCUUACUCAUGUACUAUAAAUAACAAAUUGAACAUUUUAUGAGGAAUGUAAAUAACUGCAACAGCAUAGCGACAGUGUUUGGAUGACAGCAAAUUGAUACUAACAGGUGUGUACAUGCACAAAAUUAGUAACACUAAACUAAUAGCACUAAGGUCGUCCACUAUGUAUGCCAAAACCGGUGUAAAGACAACUGUUACUACAUCUCGCACCGGAGCCCUGCACUGGCGAGCCGAUGCAGCAGAAAAAAAAUCAGGGACCCGGACUCCGGAGCACCUAGUUGCUCCGAUGCCCAAUUCCUUCGUGUCAUAAAGAUUUAGUAUUUUACUGCUUGGCUGCUCGGAUGUGUGGACCAAAGUUGGCUGCACAAACUGCUGAAGCGGUGCCAAAUAAUUUUCUAAUGGCACCGCUGAUGAGAUGGCAACUUUUUUAGAUACUAGGUACAAACUGUGACACUAUCUUAGGAUGCGUUUGGUUGAAGGUGUGGUAUGAAUGGGUUGGGACCGUGACAGUGUCUGAAUCACAUGUAACAAAUGAUUUGUAACAACGAAAGAGGGUCUCACCUUCUCUGCACAUGCCAGAAACUUCCUCCCACGGUCCAUAGAUUCAAACGCAACUACCUUCACGCAUGGAGAUUGAUGGUGACAAUGAGCAGACAAAUCUUCAGCCACCCCGCUCCAUUCGUUGCAAUUGAUGGUCCUAGGGAGCUACAAGAGCAAGAAAUGACUCAAAUCGACCACCGGGUUAAAAUCCUUCAUUCCAAGUCAUAGCCCGAGAGAGAGAAGAGAGGCAUACCUGGGUGGUGAAGGAGUCGAAGGAGGAGGAGGAACCGUUGGAGAGGUCAUUAAAGAAGACCAUGGUGACCCCGGCGGUAUGCGAGAUGGCGAGAGCGAGGAAGCAAGUGAGGAAGCGGCUAUAGCUAAGGAAGGAAGGAGGAAACAUGGGAAAUGUGACUUGUGGUCGGGAAGAAAAGGGGGUGGGGAAGGGGGGAGGGGCGGGGUAGAUAUUUUGGUGGUAGGCCAAAAUUUUGGAAAUGUGGAGGGAAACUUUGCGCGCGGUGCCGCCGGACACCAUUCACUUUGAACGAUUGUGUGCAUCGCAAACGAUUCUUCUGCUUUACACGCAUGGGAUGAGUUUAAUAAUUCAAAUUUUCAUGGAAAUUUCCCUGGGUUCGUCAUUUCAUAAUUUAACAUCACUUGCUAAUUUGGGCACACAAAAGAGCGUACAGCACACAAACCACGCUUACUGAAUCGAGCAAUUUUAGUAAUUCAACAGAGCCAGUUGACCUUAACAUUGCUCUAACAAAAGACCAGCAUUAAAAACAAAGCCUAAGUACGCAUAAUUUUAACAUAUCCGCCGCCGCGCCGGCCUAUGCAUCGCCGGUGUGAGAUGAGACGUCGAUGACUUGUCCUGGCGACAUGCCGCUGUUGGUGGACUCCGCGUCCCCCCUGCUGAAGCCGACUGCGUCCUCGUCCUCGUCCUUGGCGCCGCCCUCAAGGUUGUAGUACUCGUAGUAGUGGCUGGGCCAGAGCCCGCGUUGGUACUCCAUGGCCGAUUCCUCGACGAACAGACUCUUCUCUACCUCGGCCUCGACCACGCGCAACUCCUCCUCCUGGCGCUCCUCGAUCUCUAUCGCCUCCUGCAUCUCCAGCUCCCGCUCGGCGACCUCAUGAGGAAGCAGGUGCUCCAUGGCCACCGCCGCCUUUUCAAACGUGGGUUGCAUGCUGGAGUCCGAGGUGGCCUGGAAUAUCUUGGCGUGUGCAUCCUCGAUCUUGGUGUGGAUGGCAUCGACCCGGGCCAGGGCCACAUCGGCGGCACGGACGGUAGCUCGAGCGCUCUCGGUGUUUGCAGCCGCCGUUGCAGCAACAGCUGCAGCCGUCUCGGCUGCCGCAGAUGCCCUCUCGGCGGAUGCGGCGGCACUCUAGGCGUAGGCAGACGCGCUCUCGACGAAGGCGGCGGCGCUCGGGGAGGACCCGGCCAUCGUAUGGGCCUUCACGAAGCGUUUCCACGGCGUCAUAUUUGCAAGAAGGGGGUGCGGGAAUGGGGAUCGGGAUUUGUGGAUUCGGGGGUUGCCGAAACUGGAGCAGACGAGCCGGCGAAGCUUAAGGAGGAAGACUUAAAUAGACCCAGAAAUUUUCAUCGCAAACGGUUCCUACAAAAAAUUUGUGUGUGAUGUUGUGGAUAUUUUUUAUUAGCUGUGAAAGACGAAUUUGGAGUAAAGUGGCAACGGAUGGUGUUUUAAAUGUACAAGAAAAUUUGUAGUACUAAUACAACUGUCAUGUAAAAUUUUGGAAAAUUUCAGGGGUCAUUUGACCUUUUAAGACAUUUAAGUGACUUUCUAGCCAUUUAAUGACCGUAAUUCAAAUUUGAACUACAUCUACAUGGAAGAGCUAACCAUAAUGGUUUGAAAAGUCAUAUUUUGUGUACUUGUGCGCGAUUUAAUUCCAUGUGCAGUAAAUUGGAAGAAAUUUUCACAUAUAUUUGUCUAACGGCUAUGACACAUAUAAGCAUGGAGUGCCAUGGCAUUUAAAUUCCAAAAAAAAGAUUAGAAACACAUGAAACCUUGCUUGAUGUAAUGUCAUACCACCAAGAUGAUGUGGUAAAAAAUUGGGCAUGUUUAACGAAAGUUUGGACACACACCCCUCACAAACUAAAGCAACUCACUAGAAGGCUCGUGGUUCCGAGAGGGAACAAUGUAUGUUUGAUGACGCACGGGCGAUAGCUUCCCCUUACGGCCUUCAAAUUUUUUCUACAUUUAACGUGCACUAAUACAACUGUCAUGUGAAAAUUCGGACAGGGGUCAUUUGACCUUUUAAAGACAUUUAAGUGAUUUUCUAGCCAUUUAAUGAACGUAAUUCAAAUUUUAACUACAUCUACAUGCAACAGCUAACCAUAACGGUUUGAAAAAUCAUAUUUGUGUACUUGUGUGCAUGUUAAUUCCAUGUGCAAUAAAUUAGAAGGAAUUUUCAAACAUAUUGGUCUCACGGCAUGGACACAUGCAUGGAGUGCCAUGGCAUUUAAAUUCGAAAAAAUAAAAAAAUGAUCAGAAAAAAGUGAAACCUUGCUUGAUGUAAUGUCAUUCCACCAAGAUGAUGUGGUAAAAAAAUUGGUCUGUUUGACGAAAGUUUGGACACACACCCCUCACAAACCGGAGCAACUCACUAGAAGGCUCCUGGUUCUGAGAGGGAACAAUGCAUGUUUGAUGACGAACGGGAGAUAGCUUCCCCUUACGGCCUUCAAAUUUUUUCUACAUUUAACAUGCACUAAUACAACUGUCAUGUGAAAAUUUGCAAAAUUUCAGGGGUCAUUUGACCUUUUAAAGACAUUGAAGUGAUUUUCUAGCCAUUUAAUGACCGCAAUUCAAAUUUGAACUAUAUCUACAUGCAACAGCUAACCAUAACGGUUUGAAAAAUCAUAUUUGUGUACUUGUGUGCAAGUUAAUUCCAUGUGCAGUAAAUUAGAAGGAAUUUUCAAACAUAUUGGUCUCACGGCAUGGACACAUGCAUGGAGUGUCAUGGCAUUUCAAUUCCAAAAAAUAAAAAAUGAUCAGAAAAACAUGAAACCUUGCUUGAUGUAAUGUCAUGAUACCAAGAUGAUGUGGUAAAAAAAUUGGCCUAUUUGACGAAAGUUUGGACACACCCCCCUCACAAACCGGAGCAACUCACUAGAAGGCUCGUGGUUCUGAGAGGGAACAAUGCAUGUUUGAUGACGAACGGGAGAUAACUUCCUCUGAUGGCCUUCAAAUUUUUUCUACAUUUAACGUGCACUAAUACAACUAUCAUGUGAAAAUUUGAAAAAUUUCAGGGGUCAUUUGACCUUUUAAAGACAUUUAAGUGAUUUUCUAGCCAUUUAAUGACCGUAAUUCAAAUUUGAACUACAUCUACAUGCAACGGCUAACCAUAACGGUUUGAAAAAUCAUAUUUGUGUACUUGUGUGCGAGUUAAUUCCAUGUGCAGUAAAUUAGAAGGAAUUUUCAAACAUAUUGGUCUCACGGCAUGGACACAUGCAUGGAGUGCCAUGGCAUUUUAAUUCUAAAAUAUUAAAAAAUGAUCAGAAAAACAUGAAACCUUGCUUGAUGUAAUGUCAUGCCACCAAGACGAUGUGGUAAAAAAAUUGGCAUGUUUGACGAAAUUUUGGACACACACCCCUCAUGAACCAGAGCAACUCACUAGAAGGCCCAUGGUUCUGAGAGGGAACAAUGCAUGUUUUGAUGACGAACGGGAGAUAGCUUCCCCUUACGGCCUUCAAUUUUUUUCUACGUUUAACGUGCAAUACUACAACUGUCAUGUGAAAAUUUGAAAAAUUCUAGGGGUCAUUUGACCUUUUAAAAACAUUUAAGUGAUUUUCUAGCCAUUUAAUGACCAUAAUUCAAAUUUGAUCUACAUCUACAUGCAACGGCUAACCAUAACAGUUUGAAAAAUCAUAUUUUUGUGUACUUGUGUGCGAGUUAAAAAAUCAUCAGACGAUGUAAAUAUCUGGUGUUCAAAAAAGAAAAUGUAAAGAUCUGGCAAGACAACCGGCCCCCACACGAUUGGCACUCUAUUUCGUGGCUCGAGGUUUGGUAGGUGAGUGGCGGGGGGUCAUUAAUCAGACACGGUUCUGUAUUGGAAACCAUCAGCUAUUAAGUUCACACACGGAUUUUGCUGCGGGAAUCAUGUGUAAUUCAUACUACAGUACUUGUAAAUUCCGGCGACCGGCGUGUGUACUGUUCCCGUCGAUCUAGAUUCUGGUCGCCAAUAAAUACUACCUUGCUCACGUCGUCCCGCCUGCAUUCUCAUCUACAUCCUCUCCUCGCUCGCCCUCUCUCUCUCUCUCUCAAAUCUCUGCCAUGGCGCCGCCGGUCUGCCCACGCGCCGAUGAGGAGUCGCCGCCCCCCGAGGACGCUCACUCGAAUAGCAGCGACGAGGACCCCUACGCACCACCGGAUGAGGUUGCGCCGGACCCCCCAACUUUGGAUUGGUUUUGGGGGCAGUACAAUCUUUGUCUGUGGAAGUCGCUGUCGCCGGCUGAGAAAGCCAGGAAAGUGGCAUUCAAGAAGGAGAUGGCGGAGGAGGAAGCCAGGUACCAAGCGGCCUGUGAAGCCCGUGAUGCCACCUGGAAAAAGGAGGCGGCAGAGCUUUGGGGGCGGGCGCGUCGUCGUGCGGAAGAGGUGUACGAAGACGGGUACUUCGCGAGGAAGGCCAAAGGCGCUGGGCGCCUCAUCACUUCGUGGAGGUGGGCCGAUAAGCUCCAGCAUGCCACCAACGAGGAGCUCCAGUGGGCGCCCAACGAAAUGGCAAGAUCGUUCGCGCUUGUCCGCCAGCAAGAGGUAGAUCGGUACGUCAAGUGCUGCAAGGCGGAGGAGGCAGAGUACUGCCUCCGCACUGGGAAGACGCCGCGCACCAGGGAGCUGCUGGCGAGGGGCUGCCGGAAUACUGGCCCCAGGAGGGAUUAUUAGUUUUAGUAUUGUUCGUUUUUCACUUUAUGCAUGGUAUCUAGUAGUUAAGUAUCAUCACUUAUAUGUGAUGAUAAUAUAUAUAUUAUGUGAUGAACCGAUGAAUAAUUAAUAUAUAUAUAUAUAUAUUAUGAAUUCCAUUUUCUAUCUGUUUUUGUAUACUAAUUUGAAUCUAGCUGUUAUCAUCCACGUAUACAGAAUGGAAAGCGUAUAUACAGACAUUGAAACAGAACAUAUAAGAACGGAAAACAGAGUACACACAUUGAAACAGAGCAAUACUAUGAUUGCUGUGAAUACAUAGCUAUCCACGUCGAAACGACUCAACAAAAUAAAACGCGUCCAUGAGACCAUGACCAGCAACCCUUGCCUACGGUAGCUCUUGGCUCUGCCUGAACUCAUGCAGGCGUUCGUCCAAGCGGUCGACACGCUCGCGGUACAUUUGGAGCGAAAUCUUGAGCUCCAAGUUGGCUAUUUCAUCAGAGGUCACCAGCUCGAGGAUGCGACGGCCAUGUUCCUCUACUGCGCCCAGGUGGACACCUAGGCCAAGGAGGCGGUCGAGCCUACCGACCAGCACGUUGGCAUCGAGCGGGCCGCGAACAAUGCGAACGGCGCGACCCAUGCGAACAGCGCGGCAGGCGUCCGGUGCAAGUACGGCGCAGAGGGCCUCUGCCCACUCCUAGAGAGGAAUGGGGGUACUGGCGGGACGUGUACCCAACUGUGACGCCCUGUUGACAGCAGGCAAGCGUUGAUGGAUCCGCUCUUGCUGUGGGGCGCGCCGCGCCUCUCGCUCUGCGGUGCUCCAACGGUCUCGCCGUGCGGCGAGCCGCAGCCUAUCGGCGCGGAUGCGCCUAGCUUGCUCUACGGUACACCAUCGAUCACGUUGUGCAGCGAGCUGCAGCCUCUCGGCGUUGACAUGCCUAUCUUGAUCCGCGGCGCUGAAGCGCCAUGCGCCAAGGGUCUGCUCAACCCUGGCGAUGACGCGCAUCACGACGUCGUCCAUCGCGUUGUCGGGGAGCUCCUCGGCCUCGACGGGCCGUGGCGCCUGCUCAUUUUCCUCGUCGACGAGGUUGAUGUCAGAGGCGGCGCUUUGGUGGGUUGGCAUGCUUGGAAAAGGUGGAUGUGCUACAGGAUGCGCUUGUUGCCUACGUGCGUCGCGCGCCGCCUAGGUUUAUGUGCAAUAUCGCUGGGUGGCGGGAAACAGGUGAGGAAAUGGCGGAAAAUGGUGGCGUUUUCAUAAAACACCAUCAAUUAAUGGAAACUUAGCAUGUAAGGAACAUCGAGCUAGCACAAGAAGUAGAUGAUGAUCAGAUGAACACGGACCACACUAGGGAACCCAUCGGUGAUGAACUCAUCAAUCGCAAACGGUUGUAUACUAGCAAGCGUUUGCCCACAACACACACAGCUUAUUUCAUCACAAACAGGUCGGAUGGAUCAAGUGUAUGCCACAUAUCGCACAUUGUCAAAAAUUAAUGCGGUAGACCUUCUUUAACAUGUGUUAAAAAACAAGGACCUCGAGGUUAAUUUAACUGAUGGGAUGGAUCAUAUAGGUCAUUUAAUUUGACCUGUAUGACCCAUCCCAUCAGUUAAUUUAACAUCAAGACAACUUCCCAUCCAGUCACCCGUCUGAUGGUUGCUCCAGCCUGAGCACAGUUAACUUGAGAGUUCUCUUAGAUGAGCUAUUGGUGGAACAGCUAGUCCUUACUGAUAUAGGAUGCCUCUUCGCAUCCUUACUACGUACCCGGAUGACCGCCCGUCGCCCAAUGGCCAAUAGAUGUUCUAUAGACAGAGCAUAUCACAUACGUCUUAUUAGAAGCAAUCGUCUGUGUUAUUAUCGGUCUUUGCACACAUUUUUUAUUACAGACCUGUUUGCUGCGUAUCACACACAUCUUGUUAUAUCGAACCGUUUAUGUUCUCUUGUCUCAACACAAACAGUUCAUCCGAGUGAACCACAUGCCAUAUAUCGUACACACCUUGAUCUGGCUGACCGUUUUUUUUGUGUUGCCUAACCACAAACAGUUCAUCCGAGGUGUUGUAUAACGCACACACCUUCAUCUGGUUGCCCGUUUCUUUUGUUCCUCCUCAUCGCAAACAGUUAAUUGAACUGAACCGUAUGCCCUGCAUCGAACACGCAACUAAAAUCUAAACCAUGUUUGAUGCAUCCGUCAUUGCAAACGUUUUGCACCUUUUUGACGGGUUUUUUACACCACCGUUUGCGAUUAUGGCAUCGCACACAGUUUCGUCGAAGGGUCUCUGAUCGUAGUGCCGCGUUAGCAGCAUCCUGCAGUAGUGCUUGCCCACAUGGAAACAAUCCCUAGCAUGCUCCAAAUCCAUCACAACUAGCUACUACACCAUCACAGUCAAACAGAUCGGACGGCCUAACCUUAGAACAUGGACAGAUCUAGCUAUAACUAGAAGAGAGGAGGUGGUGAUUGAACUUACAGAGGCCAUUGGAACGACCGCGUAGGAGGUGCCUGGCACGUCAGAAAGGAGGAGGAGUCGACCCGCCGGCGUAGUCGACCGGUCGCCGGAGUAGAUGCGCCGCUUACCUCGUCGUUGAAGUGGAUCCACGCUGGAGGGAAAGCUCAAGGAGGGGGGAAUGGUGGCUGGAGUUUUGCCGCGGCGGUGACCCUCGAUAUAUAGGGCGACCAAAUCGGCGGGCGGUGACUCGAAUUCGUCCCGUCGCUUUUUGGAUAUGCACCAUCGCUCCCGCCAUCUCCCUCCCAUGCGCGGCGCGGCGCGGCGUUCCCCUCCCCUGCAUCACUCGAGCCUGGCUCGCUGGAAACAACCGAUUCGGUCAUUCCUAGCGGGCCAGGAUGAGGGGUGCUUUGAGGUUCAUGCUAUGCGGACCAAACAAUAAACACAGGCAUCCAAACAGCCAUUUUCAUCCUGUGAGGGCCCGGCUGGGCCUAAUGCAGGCUACCAGACGCGUCCUUAAUGGAUUGUAUGAAACAAUGAAAACUUAGAGAAUGGACAAAACCAAGUGUGUUUGUGCAACACACCUCAAUGAAGUAAAAUAGAAGUUCAUGGUGUGAUCACAACCCGAAAUAGAUGAACAGAUUGUUCAUUAGUACAUGCAACACUAUAAUAUACAUUUCUGCACCAGAGCUCAUCAGAUCUCAGUGAACAGUAAAAUGAAAAAAAAAUACUAGAAAAAUUCAAAAAAAUCUGAACUUUUUUUUGCAAGUAAGAUGUUUGAAUGCGUGAGGUCCGUGCCAAUUUUCAGCACGUUUGAACAUCUGAGUAGCUCUCGGCAAAAAAAGGAUCCAAACAGUGCACGAACAAUAAACUUUUCACAGACCCUGAUUUUAUUUUUUAUAAGAGCUACUCAGAUAUCAAAACACACUCAAAUUGACAAGAACAUCACGCAUUCAAACAACUUUCAUGCCAAAAAAAUUAAAAAAUGUAAAAUUUCUAGUAUUUUUCUAUUUUACUGUUCACGUCGCAGUCGCGCGCCGCCACACUCACUUGCACAAAGAAGGGCCUGGCAGCGAGCUCAAGACAUCAGAAGUGUAUCUUGGAGCGACGGAAGUAGAGCCCACAUCCGUCCACUGGCUUCGACGAAUCCGAGUCAUGGAAGGUGGCAGGGAGGAGGUACAGCGAGUCGGCGACGACUGGGUCGAGGAGACGAUGAGCGUCGAGCGGGGAAAGCAUGAGGUCAAGGAGAGGUGUGGGAGGCCGGUGGCGGCGGUGCCAUACUUGGGAUCUUACGGAUUUAAGGAAAAAGGCAAUGGUGGGUGAGUCGGGGCACUGUGGCUCGACAACCAGUGCACGGCGUUGGUCGAACGGUUUGGAUCUGGUGGCAGGUUGUAGGAUCGAAAGGAGUGUCUAGGAGGGGUGAAUAGACAACUAGCAUGAGUCAAUGGGCAAUCUUAAGUUCUUUAACAUUUAGGCGGAUUUUAGCACAAUCUAAAGUAGUACAAGCAUACUCUACACAAGCAUACCUAGAGCAUAGGCAACAGAAAGAAAAAUCGGUCAUGCCCGUGCAAGAAAGUAAGGAGUAGAAUUUGAGAGAAUCGCAAACAAUGGUUGACACAGAAGAUUUUUGACCCGCGGUCCCGAUAGGUCGUGAUAUCGUACGUCCACGGUUGAUGGAAGCUUCAAUCAUAAGGAUUACGUUUAUGGAUUCCAUAGAGGAAUCGAGUCCACAGAGGGCUCACACACACGAAGGAUCCAUGAAGAAGCAACAUUGCCUAUUCCAUCAUGGCAUACACCCAUGAAGGGUUGGCCUCACUAGGGUAGAUCUUCACGAAGUAGGCGAUUUUCUUGCCCUCACAAACUUCUUGGUUUCUCCACACGAUUUGGAGACUCCCAAGCAAACCUAGCCAAUCUAGGAGGCACCAUCCUCCAAAAGGUAAUAGAUGGUGUUGUUGAUGAUGAACUCCUUGCUCUUGUGCUUUAAAACAUAAUCUCCUUAACACUAAUACUCUCUCAUAGAUUUUGACUUUUGGAUAGGAGUGGUUUGGGUGGAAAGCAAUGAGGUGACUAGAAAUCAAAGGAUCAACGGUUCGAGUGGAUCCCUUUGAAAUCAACACAAGGAAUGGGAGCUCUCUCUCUCUCUCUGAAAUAUGGAUGUGUAAUGUGUUUACUUCGAGAGACAAUGGUCGAGUGGGUGGGGGCAUAUAUAGGCGGCACAAAAAACUGACUGUUACGCACCUUUUAGCACAUCUUGGUGAGACCGGCUGAAAACACACGGUCAGACCGAAUAGUAGAAAUGUUUGAACUUUAGAUACUUUGGUGACUCCAGAUGAAACUAUCCGGUGACACCAAGUUGUGCUCACCUAAGCACUUUACACACUUCGGUAAUUCUGACUGAAACCAUUCAGAAAUUCAGAACGAGUUGUAGUAGGCAACACAAGGUUAUAAGUGAUCUUCGGUGAGACCAAAGGGUCAACUUGGUGGGACCGAAAAGUUAGGGUUUUAGGCAACGACUAUAUCAUGAUGGCUCGGUGACUCUGAUUGGUUUGGUUCAGUGAGUCCGAGUUGAACUUUUAGUUUGUGAAAUAGUGGGAUCAUGUGAAAUGAUAUGAGGAUUUGGGAGUUUGAUCUUUAAUCACUUGAGCAAUGAACUCAUCAUCUCCUCAUAAGUUAGAGACCUUUCGGUCCAAAAAACUGCCCUAAGCCAAUGUACAACGCAAUGCACUUAGGAGAGGUGCUUAAAGAAAUAAAUUAUUCUUCAAGCACCGAUGCUUAUUUGUAGAAGGUACAAGCCUAAUUAGAGCAUCUCCAACGCCGACCCUUAACCGCCCGCAACCGCACGGUCCAAACGUGUUUUGCCAUCCAACGCGGUUCUAUAAUAUGUAUCAGUCCAGACAUGUUUUUCCUCAAAAACCGGAAACAAACCGGGGUACUUUGCGGGCGUCUGGACCGUUGCCACGCCCGCAUCCAACAACCAUUGCCCACCCAAACCCUCCCCUCGCCCGCGCACUUUCCCUCUCGAAGCCAGCUAUUCGCGUGCCGCUCUAGAACAACCGCUCCGCAUUGACGCCGGGACGUGACCUCUCACUGGCACCCGCACUAAAGCGGAUCACUUGCCGAGGGCACCACCCACGCCGCGUUCCCGGUGUCCGCACAUGUUCAAUGCCGGAGUGACGUUUACUGGACGGGAUGGGACGGAUAUCUACCGUGCCCGUUUAAUGCCUGUUUGUCCGUCUGCCACCAUUAGUAGGCUCACCGGCCGAGGAAUCAACUCCGACGCCCGCGCAUUUGGCGCACUGGGAUGCUUAGCCUCACCGAAGUGUGCUAUUUAAAGGCGACCACAACACAUCCACUCCACAUCUUCCUCCCGUGCACCACAUCUGCCACGACCGCGAACGGGAACGCUUUCUGGAAGAGCCUCUCGACCCAGCAAAAACACGAGGUGGCCGCCUCGCAGAGGCGUCGUGCCAGGCAGAUCGAGACCGGCAUGUCGGCCAGCUCCCUCGUGUCUUCAACGGCAACCCCAUGACGGAGAUGGGCUUUGGCGACGACUCGGCGCGGGAGCCCGCGCCGGUGCAUGCCGACUUACCAUGGAGCAAGCGAGGCGCACUUCACUGUGGCCAUGGCGGAGGAGGGCAAAUUUGACAAAUUUAACCUAUAGACGAAAUCAAAUCACAGAAUGAACUAUCCGUGAAACUAUUUCACGCGGCUGACCUUUUUGUGUGACGCCCGACACGAAGGCGCCACACUACACUGUGUAACGCCUAACAGAUAGGCGCUACACGGCCAGCGUCGCACCCGUGUGAUCAGAAAAUUACUAAGUCAGUGUGCAGCGCCUGAGAGCUAGGCGCCACACUAUACAGUGUAGCGCCUAGCUCCUAGGCGUUGCACUAGUGCAGCGCCUAGCUCCCAAGCGUUGCACUAGUGCAGCGCCUGAGAGCUAGGCGCCAUUGCACUAGUGCAGCGUCUGAGAGCUAGGCGCCACGGGUCAGCCGCGUGAAAUAGUUUUACGGACAGUUCAUUCUGUGAUUUGAUUUCGUCUAUAAGUUAAAUUUGUCAAAUUUGCCGCAGAGGAGCAGCCUGUGUUGGCACCUAUUCCGGUAUUCUGCAGGCUUACAACUUGUUCCUCUCCUCCUCGUGCAACCCCAGCUGGCGGAGGGCCAAACCUACAGCAAGUGUGCGAGCGAGGAGGUCGUAGCGGCCAUGGCCACGGCGAACCCCAACUUCUUAACGCAGAGCUGGCGUAGCCAGAUGCGGAUGUGGCGCUGGGAUAGAGGACAAGAAGACAAGAACACUGCGCGUCCUAUGUGCAGGCAGGAUCAUUCGAGGGCGCAUGUGGCAGGAGGGCAGGCAUUUUCAUGUUCAGCCGGAAGAGUUUAGACAAGACUCUAAUUAGGCCUUGAACAAUCAAAAAAUUGUUUUUUUGUUAAACACGGAUCACAGGAGAAACGAGGCACCCCUCAUGUAAUUGGUGCUUUUUAGAAAGAAAAAAACUAAUAUUCGUAUUUUCUUAAGCUUUGCUCAUUGACUCCCCGGUGAGGCGGUACGGAUGUUCCGUUAAGCAAGGUUCCCCUACCAUAUCUGCAGUCGAUUUUGUUGCCGUGAGCAAAUCCCACUGGAAGCACUCUUAAGCAUACGAAUUACUAGUUCAGGCGUCUCCAAGCGAACAGAAGACACAUGCAUGAAGAUUCUACCAAGCACAGAAGCGCCAUUUAUUACCAAAGCUCUCCACGAACCAUUUCUACUGUCACUUGAAGAUAAUUUAACUAGGUACACCACUGACGGAUUUGUUACAGUAUUUCUCGCAACGGGAUACAGAAUCAGGCAAAACCGGGGCCAACACAUCCAACGACCAACUCUCGUCCCCCCCUCGCAAAAUCUGGCGUUGGAAGCUGCCUUGCCAAAACAUGUUUCCCCCUCCUCUACCUGUCUGCUGCUAGACAGACCGAUGCUCAGAGCUCGUCCUUCAGAGGCUCG
rnacentral:lncRNA from 1 species